GCGGGAGUAGCUCAGUUGGUAGAGCGCAACCUAGCCAAGGUUGAGGUCGAGAGUUCGAGACUCUUCUCCCGCUCCA
rnacentral:tRNA from 1 species